CUGGUUGAUUCUGCCAGAGGUCACUGCUAUCGGGGUUCGAUUAAGCCAUGCGAGUCGAGAGGGUUCGGCCCUCGGCGUACUGCUCAGUAACACGUGGAUAACCUGACCUAAGGAAGGGGAUAACUCCGGGAAACUGGGGAUACUACCCUAUAGGUUACGGGUGCUGGAAUGCCCUGUAACCGAAAGUUCCGACGCCUUAGGAUGGAUCUGCGGCCGAUUAGGUUGUUGUCGGGGUAAUGGCCCAACAAGCCAGUGAUCGGUACGGGUUGUGGGAGCAAGAGCCCGGAGUUGGAUUCUGAGACACGAAUCCAGGCCCUACGGGGCGCAGCAGGCGCGAAAACUUUACAAUGCGGGCAACCGUGAUAAGGGAACCUCGAGUGCCUGUAUAUGCAGGCUGUCCAGGUGUCUAAAACACACCUGAAGAAAGGGCCGGGCAAGACCGGUGCCAGCCGCCGCGGUAAUACCGGCGGCUCGAGUGGUGGCCACUUUUAUUGGGCUUAAAGCGUUCGUAGCUGGGUUGUUAAGUCUCUUGGGAAAUCCGGCAGCUUAACUGUCGGGCGUCUAAGGGAUACUGGUAAUCUUGGAACCGGGAGAGGUGAGGGGUACUUCGGGGGUAGGAGUGAAAUCCUGUAAUCCUCGAGGGACCACCUGUGGCGAAGGCGCCUCACCAGAACGGCUUCGACAGUGAGGGACGAAAGCUGGGGGAGCAAACCGGAUUAGAUACCCGGGUAGUCCCAGCCGUAAACGAUGCGCGUUAGGUGUAUCGGUGACCACGAGUCACCGAGGUGCCGAAGGGAAACCGUGAAACGUGCCGCCUGGGAAGUACGGUCGCAAGGCUGAAACUUAAAGGAAUUGGCGGGGGAGCACCACAACAGGUGGAGCCUGCGGUUUAAUUGGAUUCAACGCCGGG
rnacentral:rRNA from 1 species